GACGUAGGGUGCAAGCGUUGUCCGGAAUUGUUGGGCGUAAAGAGCUCGUAGGUGGCCUGUCGCGUCGGCUGUGAAAACUCGGGGGCUCAACUCCGAGCUUGCAGUCGAUACGGGCAGGCUAGAGUUCGGCAGGGGAGACUGGAAUUCCUGGUGUAGCGGUGAAAUGCGCAGAUAUCAGGAGGAACACCGGUGGCGAAGGCGGGUCUCUGGGCCGAUACUGACGCUGAGGAGCGAAAGCGUGGGGAGCGAACAGG
rnacentral:rRNA from 1 species